rnacentral:tRNA from 1 species
GCCGGAGUGGUGGAAUUGGUAGACACCAGGGACUUAAAAUCCCUUGUACUGUAAAGUACGUGCCGGUUCGAGUCCGGCCUCCGGCA